AGGUAGCCUAGUGGUUAGAGUGUAGAGGAGGCAGGUAGCCUAGUGGUUAGAGUGUAGAGGAGGCAGGUAGCCUAGUGGUUAGAGUGUAGAGGAGGCAGGUAGCCUAGUGGUUAGAGUGUAGAGGAGGCAGGUAGCCUAGUGGUUAGAGUGUAGAGGAGGCAGGUAGCCUAGUGGUUAGAGUGUAGAGGAGGUAGGUAGCCUAGUGGUUAGAGUGUAGAGGAGGCAGGUAGCCUAGUGGUUAGAGUGUAGAGGAGGUAGGUAGCCUAGUGGUUAGAGUGUAGAGGAGGCAGGUAGCCUAGUGGUUAGAGUGUAGAGGAGGCAGGUAGCCUAGUGGUUAGAGUGUAGAGGAGGUAGGUAGCCUAGUGGUUAGAGUGUAGAGGAGGCAGGUAGCCUAGUGGUUAGAGUGUAGAGGAGGUAGGUAGCCUAGUGGUUAGAGUGUAGAGGUGGCAGGUAGCCUAGUGGUUAGAGUGUAGAGGAGGUAGGUAGCCUAGUGGUUAGAGUGUAGAGGAGGCAGGUAGCCUAGUGGUUAGAGUGUAGAGGAGGUAGGUAGCCUAGUGGUUAGAGUGUAGAGGAGGCAGGUAGCCUAGUGGUUAGAGUGUAGAGGAGGUAGGUAGCCUAGUGGUUAGAGUGUAGAGGAGGCAGGUAGCCUAGUGGUUAGAGUGUAGAGGAGGCAGGUAGCCUAGUGGUUAGAGUGUAGAGGCGGCAGGGUAGCCUAGUGGUUAGAGUGUAGAGGCGGCAGGGUAGCCUAGUGGUUAGAGUGUAGAGGAGGUAGGUAGCCUAGUGGUUAGAGUGUAGAGGAGGCAGGUAGCCUAGUGGUUAGAGUGUAGAGGCGGCAGGUAGCCUAGUGGUUAGAGUGUAGAGGAGGCAGGUAGCCUAGUGGUUAGAGUGUAGAGGCGGCAGGUAGCCUAGUGGUUAGAGUGUAGAGGAGGUAGGUAGCCUAGUGGUUAGAGUGUAGAGGCGGCAGGUAGCCUAGUGGUUACAGUGUAGAGGCGGCAGGGUAGCCUAGUGGUUAGAGUGUAGAGGAGGUAGGUAGCCUAGUGGUUAGAGUGUAGAGGAGGUAGGUAGCCUAGUGGUUAGAGUGUAGAGGAGGCAGGUAGCCUAGUGGUUAGAGUGUAGAGGAGGCAGGUAGCCUAGUGGUUAGAGUGUAGAGGCGGCAGGUAGCCUAGUGGUUAGAGUGUAGAGGAGGUAGGUAGCCUAGUGGUUAGAGUGUAGAGGCGGCAGGUAGCCUAGUGGUUAGAGUGUAGAGGAGGCAGGUAGCCUAGUGGUUAGAGUGUAGAGGCGGCAGGUAGCCUAGUGGUUAGAGUGUAGAGGAGGUAGGUAGCCUAGUGGUUAGAGUGUAGAGGCGGCAGGGUAGCCUAGUGGUUAGAGUGUAGAGGCGGCAGGGUAGCCUAGUGGUUAGAGUGUAGAGGAGGUAGGUAGCCUAGUGGUUAGAGUGUAGAGGCGGCAGGUAGCCUAGUGGUUAGAGUGUAGAGGAGGCAGGUAGCCUAGUGGUUAGAGUGUAGAGGAGGUAGGUAGCCUAGUGGUUAGAGUGUAGAGGAGGCAGGUAGCCUAGUGGUUAGAGUGUAGAGGCGGCAGGUAGCCUAGUGGUUAGAGUGUAGAGGAGGCAGGUAGCCUAGUGGUUAGAGUGUAGAGGAGGUAGGUAGCCUAGUGGUUAGAGUGUAGAGGCGGCAGGGUAGCCUAGUGGUUAGAGUGUAGAGGAGGUAGGUAGCCUAGUGGUUAGAGUGUAGAGGAGGUAGGUAGCCUAGUGGUUAGAGUGUAGAGGAGGUAGGUAGCCUAGUGGUUAGAGUGUAGAGGCGGCAGGGUAGCCUAGUGGUUAGAGUGUAGAGGAGGUAGGUAGCCUAGUGGUUAGAGUGUAGAGGAGGCAGGGUAGCCUAGUGGUUAGAGUGUAGAGGAGGUAGGUAGCCUAGUGGUUAGAGUGUAGAGGAGGUAGGUAGCCUAGUGGUUAGAGUGUAGAGGAGGUAGGUAGCCUAGUGGUUAGAGUGUAGAGGAGGUAGGUAGCCUAGUGGUUAGAGUGUAGAGGAGGUAGGUAGCCUAGUGGUUAGAGUGUAGAGGAGGCAGGGUAGCCUAGUGGUUAGAGUGUAGAGGAGGUAGGUAGCCUAGUGGUUAGAGUGUAGAGGAGGUAGGUAGCCUAGUGGUUAGAGUGUAGAGGAGGUAGGUAGCCUAGUGGUUAGAGUGUAGAGGAGGUAGGUAGCCUAGUGGUUAGAGUGUAGAGGAGGUAGGUAGCCUAGUGGUUAGAGUGUAGAGGCGGCAGGGUAGCCUAGUGGUUAGAGUGUAGAGGAGGUAGGUAGCCUAGUGGUUAGAGUGUAGAGGCGGCAGGGUAGCCUAGUGGUUAGAGUGUAGAGGAGGUAGGUAGCCUAGUGGUUAGAGUGUAGAGGAGGUAGGUAGCCUAGUGGUUAGAGUGUAGAGGCGGCAGGGUAGCCUAGUGGUUAGAGUGUAGAGGCGGCAGGGUAGCCUAGUGGUUAGAGCGUUGGACUAGUAACCGAAAGGUUGCAAGUUCAAAUCCCCGAGCUGACAAGGUACAAAAUCUGUCGUUCUGCCCCUGAACAGGCAGUUAAC